GACGAACGCUGGCGGCGUGCCUAAUACAUGCAAGUUGAGCGCUGAAGGUUGGUACUUGUACCAACUGGAUGAGCAGCGAACGGGUGAGUAACGCGUGGGGAAUCUGCCUUUGAGCGGGGGACAACAUUUGGAAACGAAUGCUAAUACCGCAUAAAAACUUUAAACACAAGUUUUAAGUUUGAAAGAUGCAAUUGCAUCACUCAAAGAUGAUCCCGCGUUGUAUUAGCUAGUUGGUGAGGUAUAGGCUCACCAAGGCGAUGAUACAUAGCCGACCUGAGAGGGUGAUCGGCCACAUUGGGACUGAGACACGGCCCAAACUCCUACGGGAGGCAGCAGUAGGGAAUCUUCGGCAAUGGACGAAAGUCUGACCGAGCAACGCCGCGUGAGUGAAGAAGGUUUUCGGAUCGUAAAACUCUGUUGGUAGAGAAGAACGUUGGUGAGAGUGGAAAGCUCAUCAAGUGACGGUAACUACCCAGAAAGGGACGGCUAACUACGUG
rnacentral:rRNA from 1 species